GGGGUUGUAGCUCAGUGGUAGAGCGCUUGCCUAGCAUGUGUGAAACACUGAGUUUGAUCCUCAGCAUCACAU
rfam:Ictidomys tridecemlineatus contig068195, whole genome shotgun sequence.